ACAUGGCAGUCAAAUUCCUUAUACCCUAAUUCUCAUUACUAGAUUUCGCCCAGGAACCUCAAUUUCUCGCUCUAACCGAAUAGAUCUGUUCAUUUUUGGUUUCAUUUCGCAUUAUUGAGUCGGCGAUUCCAAUUUUCCUUUAGCAGAUUGUGAAGAAAAGUGUGAAAUUCGCUCUCCAUAUUCGAGGAUCUUGAACUUUUUUGAGUCAGGUUGUUCUAAAUGGCACCAGUUGGAAGAAAGGCUACAUUUCUUGCACCUGGGAGUCCUGGUUUAAGGCGUAGUUUAGGGUUGAAAGUUCAUUCCUUCCUGGAGUAAAAAUAUAAAUCACCCUCAAACACUACGACAAGCAAUGAUAAUCAAGAUGCAAAUGUUCCUGAGGAACUAUCAGUGAAGCACCCAUGGAAGAGGAGAUGUCACAUGCAAGUCUCCUUCAAUCUCUUCGUGAGGACGUCGGAAAUGAUGACAAUGAUAUGUUACAAAGAUUCAUAAUAAUGCAACCCUUUCUAACUUCCUUGAGGAGCAAAAAUGCUUCACAAGAUGCCUCAACGAUCAAGAUGAAGGUACUUCAUGACUAAUGGGGCAUUAUUCAGCAUAAUAGUUCAAGGCUUAACAUGGAGAUUGGUUGUAUCUUCCAUCUAAUUGUAGCUUGUAAUACUUUUGGCAUACUCUAAUAUUAGCUUGUGAAUGUGAUGGGGUUUGUUUUUUUCAUUAGUGAGCACAAUAUAUCCCUUUGUAGGUAAUGUACUGUAAUCGACUUAUUUUUGUUAAAUGAAAAUUAGUGUUUGAGGUUAUUA